rnacentral:rRNA from 1 species
GCUGGCGGCAGGCCCAACACAUGCAAGUCGACGGGUAACAGGAAGCAGCUUGCUGCUUUGCUGACGAGUGGCGGACGGGUGAGUAAUGUCUGGGAAACUGCCCGAUGGAGGGGGAUAACUACUGGAAACGGUAGCUAAUACCGCAUAACGUCGCAAGACCAAAGAGGGGGACCUUCGGGCCUCUUGCCAUCGGAUGUGCCCAGAUGGGAUUAGCUAGUAGGUGGGGUAACGGCUCACCUAGGCGACGAUCCCUAGCUGGUCUGAGAGGAUGACCAGCCACACUGGAACUGAGACACGGUCCAGACUCCUACGGGAGGCAGCAGUGGGGAAUAUUGCACAAUGGGCGCAAGCCUGAUGCAGCCAUGCCGCGUGUAUGAAGAAGGCCUUCGGGUUGUAAAGUACUUUCAGCGGGGAGGAAGGGAGUAAAGUUAAUACCUUUGCUCAUUGACGUUACCCGCAGAAGAAGCACCGGCUAACUCCGUGCCAGCAGCCGCGGUAAUACGGAGGGUGCAAGCGUUAAUCGGAAUUACUGGGCGUAAAGCGCACGCAGGCGGUUUGUUAAGUCAGAUGUGAAAUCCCCGGGCUCAACCUGGGAACUGCAUCUGAUACUGGCAAGCUUGAGUCUCGUAGAGGGGGGUAGAAUUCCAGGUGUAGCGGUGAAAUGCGUAGAGAUCUGGAGGAAUACCGGUGGCGAAGGCGGCCCCCUGGACGAAGACUGACGCUCAGGUGCGAAAGCGUGGGGAGCAAACAAGAUUAGAUACCCUGGUAGUCCACGCCGUAAACGAUGUCGACUUGGAGGUUGUGCCCUUGAGGCGUGGCUUCCGGAGCUAACGCGUUAAGUCGACCGCCUGGGGAGUACGGCCGCAAGGUUAAAACUCAAAUGAAUUGACGGGGGCCCGCACAAGCGGUGGAGCAUGUGGUUUAAUUCGAUGCAACGCGAAGAACCUUACCUGGUCUUGACAUCCACGGAAGUUUUCAGAGAUGAGAAUGUGCCUUCGGGAACCGUGAGACAGGUGCUGCAUGGCUGUCGUCAGCUCGUGUUGUGAAAUGUUGGGUUAAGUCCCGCAACGAGCGCAACCCUUAUCCUUUGUUGCCAGCGGUCCGGCCGGGAACUCAAAGGAGACUGCCAGUGAUAAACUGGAGGAAGGUGGGGAUGACGUCAAGUCAUCAUGGCCCUUACGACCAGGGCUACACACGUGCUACAAUGGCGCAUACAAAGAGAAGCGACCUCGCGAGAGCAAGCGGACCUCAUAAAGUGCGUCGUAGUCCGGAUUGGAGUCUGCAACUCGACUCCAUGAAGUCGGAAUCGCUAGUAAUCGUGGAUCAGAAUGCCACGGUGAAUACGUUCCCGGGCCUUGUACACACCGCCCGUCACACCAUGGGAGUGGGUUGCAAAAGAAG